CUACGGAGUACAAUGUCAAAAAUACUUUUGACGAACUAACCUUAAUCAGACCUAUUUACACAAACAUUUUUUGUCAUGGCUUGUUAGGUCGCAAGCAUAUAUCUAGUUUUGAGAGGACAAUCUCUCAAAAUUGUUCUUUGAAAACUGAAUAGUAAAUAUUUUAAAAUAUUACAACGACAUCAAAAAUAUAAAUUAUAUCAAUUUUGGUUAAUUUGUUUUGAUUCAUCGAGUAGUCAUAAAUAUAUUAUGACUCAUUGAAAUGUCUUAAAAUACACAUCAAUAACAACAAUAGGAAAAUCCUAAUUUUAAUUAAUUAGGAACAUA
rnacentral:misc_RNA from 1 species